UACGUAGGGCGCAAGCGUUAUUCGGAAUUACUGGGCUUAAAGGGUGCGUAGGCGGCGCAGUAAGUUGGGUGUGAAAUCCCUCGGCUUAACCGAGGAAUUGCGCCCAAAACUACUGUGCUCGAGGGAGAUAGAGGUGAGCGGAACUUAGGGUGGAGCGGUGAAAUGCGUUGAUAUCCUAAGGAACACCGGUGGCGAAAGCGGCUCACUGGAUCGGUACUGACGCUGAGGUGCGAAAGCGUGGGGAGCAAACAGG
rnacentral:rRNA from 1 species